GUUUCACAAAUGAGCAGAUCAAGGGUUCUCCAGGAAGACCUGCCAUGCAUAGACACCUCUACAUUAGUGCAGUCAAGGAUCAGGAAACCCCUUUCUAAUUUGAGCAACACACAUAUGAAGGAAUAAUCCGAUGUACUGCUGCAAAGUGUCUUCAGCCAAUUUAGACAAGAACAACUCUUAAAUUAUUUUUGGUGAAGAAAGUUAAUCACUGAACAAUUUGAGGUGAAUGGAAGUUCGCUAUUCCUCUACAACCUUUUACCAGGUUAUAAUGAAAUUGAGUCCACUGAGGAAGGAAAAAGUUAGUUUCACUUGACUAAGUUCCCACAUGGAUUAAGCAGCAGACCCAAGACCAAGACCAGAACGCAAUCCACUCUUUGAUGAGAACAUACUUGGAUAUGACCUAUGCUAUUUUGAAUGAAAUUUAGCAAGGAAGAACUGUCCAUCAAUCAUUUUAACCAAGUUCACCUUUUGUUGCCAUUUAAGUUUAAUUUUGUCCCAGGAAAUUCAUAGUGAGUGAUUGUGAUUACAUUUUCCUCAUUUUCAUGCCUCUGACAUUCUUGUUGAAGAUGCUAAUCUUGUAUAAAGCUGUCUUUGGAGUUGAUGAUGCUGACACUUCUCACUCCUAUGGGAAAUGGAGAGAUGUGGUGCAUAAAAUAGAAUAAAAUGUAUUAGAGCAAAAUAAAACUGCUAAUAAGAGUAAUCACUGUAAUAGAUUUUAAAAUCAUUUUAAAUCUAGUUUUAAU
ensembl:lncRNA novel transcript